UACAUAUGGGGCAAGCGUUAUCCGGAAUUAUUGGGCGUAAAGAGUGCGUAGGUGGUUACCUAAGCGCAAGGUUUAAUCUUGAGGCUCAACCUCAUUCUGCCUUGCGAACUGGGCUACUUGAGUGCAGGAGGGGAAAGCGGAAUUCCCAGUGUAGCGGUGAAAUGCGUAGAUAUUGGGAAGAACACCGGUGGCGAAGGCGGCUUUCUGGACUGUAACUGACACUGAGGCACGAAAGCGUGGGGAUCAAACAGGAUUAGAUACCCGCGUAGUCCCU
rnacentral:rRNA from 1 species